GCCCUUGGUCUUCGAUCUUGGGUGGUGGGUUGUUUGUUGUUUUGUGGCGGAUUCCUUUGAAAUUUUUUAUUGAUUCAAGUCAGUUUGAUUGUUUCUGAUUCAAAGGAUCACUCAAGUUGUUGACUGUCCAGCCUUUCGGGGUUGGUUGUCUAAUAUUUUCAACGGAGAGUUUGAUCCUGGCUCAGGACGAACGCUGGCGGCGUGCUUAACACAUGCAAGUCGAGCGGUAAGGCCCCUUCGGGGGUACACGAGCGGCGAACGGGUGAGUAACACGUGAGCAACCUACCCUCAACUUCGGGAUAAGCCUCGGAAACGGGGUCUAAUACCGGAUAUCACCGCAUUCUUCAUGGUUUGUGGUUGAAAGUUCUGGCGGUUGGGGAUGGGCUCGCGGCCUAUCAGCUUGUUGGUGGGGUAAUGGCCUACCAAGGCGUCGACGGGUAGCCGGCCUGAGAGGGCGACCGGCCACACUGGGACUGAGACACGGCCCAGACUCCUACGGGAGGCAGCAGUGGGGAAUAUUGCGCAAUGGACGAAAGUCUGACGCAGCAACGCCGCGUGAGGGAUGACGGCCUUCGGGUUGUAAACCUCUUUCAGCAGGGACGAAGCGAGAGUGACGGUACCUGCAGAAGAAGGACCGGCCAACUACGUGCCAGCAGCCGCGGUAAUACGUAGGGUCCGAGCGUUGUCCGGAAUUAUUGGGCGUAAAGGGCUCGUAGGCGGUUCGUCACGUCGGGAGUGAAAACUCGGAGCUUAACUCCGAGCCUGCUUCCGAUACGGGCAGACUAGAGGUAGGCAGGGGAGAGCGGAACUCCUGGUGUAGCGGUGGAAUGCGCAGAUAUCAGGAAGAACACCGGUGGCGAAGGCGGCUCUCUGGGCCUUACCUGACGCUGAGGAGCGAAAGCGUGGGUAGCGAACAGGAUUAGAUACCCUGGUAGUCCACGCCGUAAACGUUGGGCGCUAGGUGUGGGGGACAUUCCACGUCCUCCGUGCCGCAGCUAACGCAUUAAGCGCCCCGCCUGGGGAGUACGGCCGCAAGGCUAAAACUCAAAGGAAUUGACGGGGGCCCGCACAAGCGGCGGAGCAUGCGGAUUAAUUCGAUGCAACGCGAAGAACCUUACCUGGGUUUGACAUAUAGGGAAAUCCUCCAGAGAUGGGGGGUCCGUAAGGGUCCUAUACAGGUGGUGCAUGGCUGUCGUCAGCUCGUGUCGUGAGAUGUUGGGUUAAGUCCCGCAACGAGCGCAACCCUCGUCCUAUGUUGCCAGCACGUUAUGGUGGGGACUCAUAGGAGACUGCCGGGGUCAACUCGGAGGAAGGUGGGGAUGACGUCAAGUCAUCAUGCCCCUUAUGUCCAGGGCUUCACGCAUGCUACAAUGGCCGGUACAAAGGGCUGCGAAACCGCAAGGUGGAGCGAAUCCCAAAAAGCCGGUCUCAGUUCGGAUUGGGGUCUGCAACUCGACCCCAUGAAGUCGGAGUCGCUAGUAAUCGCAGAUCAGCAACGCUGCGGUGAAUACGUUCCCGGGCCUUGUACACACCGCCCGUCACGUCAUGAAAGUCGGCAACACCCGAAGCCGGUGGCCUAACCCUUGUGGAGGGAGCCGUCGAAGGUGGGGCUGGCGAUUAGGACGAAGUCGUAACAAGGUAGCCGUACCGGAAGGUGCGGCUGGAUCACCUCCUUUCU
rnacentral:rRNA from 1 species